rnacentral:rRNA from 1 species
GAUGAACGCUGGCGGCGUGUCUAAUACAUGCAAGUCGAGCGAACAGACGAGGAGCUUGCUCCUCUGACGUUAGCGGCGGACGGGUGAGUAACACGUGGAUAACCUACCUAUAAGACUGGGAUAACUUCGGGAAACCGGAGCUAAUACCGGAUAACAUGUUGAACCGCAUGGUUCAACAGUGAAAGACGGUCUUGCUGUCACUUAUAGAUGGAUCCGCGCCGCAUUAGCUAGUUGGUAAGGUAACGGCUUACCAAGGCAACGAUGCGUAGCCGACCUGAGAGGGUGAUCGGCCACACUGGAACUGAGACACGGUCCAGACUCCUACGGGAGGCAGCAGUAGGGAAUCUUCCGCAAUGGGCGAAAGCCUGACGGAGCAACGCCGCGUGAGUGAAGAAGGUCUUCGGAUCGUAAAACUCUGUUAUUAGGGAAGAACAAAUGUGUAAGUAACUAUGCACGUCUUGACGGUACCUAAUCAGAAAGCCACGGCUAACUACGUG